AGAGUUUGAGUCCUGGCUCAGGGAAUGAACGGCUGGACGGCAGGCUUAAUACAUGCAAGUUGAACGGUAACAUGUUGUAGCAAUACGAUGAUGACGAGUGGCGCACGGGUGCGUAACACGUGUGUAACCUACCGUAUACAGGAACAUAACGUUGAGAAAUCGGCGCUAACAUUCCAUAAUAUUAUUUGUAGGCAUCUAUGAAUAUUAAAACUCCGGUGGUAUAAGAUGGGCACGCGUUCCAUUAGCUAGUUGGUAAGGUAACGGCUUACCAAGGCAACGAUGGAUAGGGGUUCUGAGAGGAUAAUCCCCCACACUGGAACUGAGACACGGUCCAGACUCCUACGGGAGGCAGCAGUAAGGAAUAUUGGGCAAUGGAGGCAACUCUGACCCAGCCAUGCCGCGUGCAGGAAGACGGCCCUAUGGGUUGUAAACUGCUUUUAAUAGGGAUUAAAGUCGACUACGUGUAGUUGUUUGCAAGUACCUAUAGAAUAAGCAUCGGCUAACUCCGUGCCAGCAGCAGC
rnacentral:rRNA from 1 species